ACCCCUACACACCCCUAUUCUCCAUUUUCCCCAUCCCUACACGCUCCUCACCUCCCAAAAUAAAAAUUUCAAUGGUUGUUCCCUAAUUUUCCCAAAAAAAUCAUAGAUCCAUGACUUCUUAUUCUUCUUUAUAUCUUUCUCCUUGAAAAUCCGACUUUAACCUCACCAGGCUGCCUACCAUUAUCAACGCAGUUUUCGCUCAAGCAAUCGAUCAAAGACAAAGAAAAAAGGCUGAGCUUCUGGAUGCAUAAGAGGUAGAAGCUUGUCUUCUUCGGUAGACUCUUGCCGCCCAUUUACUUCAUGUUUUGUUCUACUUGAGGAAUGGGACAUAGAGACUUGUAUCUUUUUCUUUUCUGUUGAAAUAGUGGCAUGUGCAUCCGAAACCAAGUGUUGGGUGUUUUAGAAUCUAGUUUUUUUUCUUAUCAUUGUCUAUGUUGUAUUAGACUUUAUACUUCCAUUUUUAUUGUCAUUUAUUAUGAAGUGUUUAGACUCUUAGGCUAACUUGCCUUGGUGGGUUAGGCGAGUGCCAUCACACUCAAAUUCGGGUCGUAAAAAAUUUGUAUCAGAGCCAAGUUUAUAGGUAUUACAUGUGUACAAGCCUAGUCUAGUAAAGCCUUGAGGAUCGGUGCAGAGAUGUUUGUUACUUAUCUAUGAGGGGCUAUGAAGACUGUUAGAUGGCUAGGACUCAAGCAUCAACUUUUACUUGAUGAGGGGAGACAGCCCCCGAGAUUGCUACUAAGACACAAUUGUAAUGAACUUGAGAGUCAUUUUUUAAGUUUUUUGUGAAAUUACUACUUUACCUAUAUUAUUAU